UUCUGUUUAACUUUCAAUUCAGUCAUAAUCCCAAGAGCAUAAUCUAAUUGUUUAAUACAUUUCCCAAAAAGACUUUUUAGACUCAAAAUAGUUGCAAAUUACAUCAUAACUCAAUAGACUUUACAAAAAAUAGGUCAACGAUCAAAGAGGCCUACCAAAACAAAUAUGAUCAAAACUUGAAUCUACUAACAUAAGGGAAACACAAAAAGACACAAAGACUUGAGUUGUGAGCUUAAUACUCAGUUGCAUGCGAAUCUGAAAAAAUUAAACACCAUGAAGGGGUAAGUCACAAAGACUUAGUGAGGAGACAACAACAACCAUCAACUAGAAGGGAAACACAAAAAGGAACGAAUAACUUUUUUACAAUCUUGUGGCGAUUAUGUUAUACACAUAAUAAAAUCAUUAAACUUAUAAUUUAGUUGUUUAGAUAGAAAUAUUAAAAAUUCAAUUAAUAGCGAAGCGAAAUCAAAAUGAAUAAACUUAAAAUCAUCAUAAAAAUCAAACAAGUAAAAAUACAAAUUUUUGAGAACCAAGAGGUGGCUUCAUCUCAUUUAUAGCCCUUUCCUCCUAAGGGUGGCCUUUCCCUUAGGGGUAGCUCCAUCUAACGGAUAGCCCUCUCCUCUCAAUCCCGCAACGCAUCAUCACACAUCAAUCAGGGAGCUUACAUCUCGUUGAUAGCUCUCUCCUCCUAUGAAUGACAUUUUUCAUAGGGGCGGCUCCAUCUAACGGGUAACUCUCCUUAAUCAAAACGAGUUAACUAGGUGCACCUACUGCCAUUAACGAUUUCACAAUUUUAACAACGAUUUUCACAACACAUAUUUAAAACCCAUAAAUAAAUCAAACUACAAACAUAUCACAUAACAAAGACCAUAAAAAUAAUUAAGGAUAAAAUCGAGAAAAUAUCAAAGGUUGUGUUCCCCAAUUUUUUAAUAAAUAUUUUAAUAUAGAAAUUAUAGUAUUAUAAAAUAUAUGACAUGAUCGUCGUCUACUCACAACUAUGAAGAGUCGACUACGUUUGUUCUCCAACAACUCCCAGAAUAGCCGGCAGGACCUCAGCUAACAAAUCUGAGUAUCAAAAAUAUUCUCAAAACUUUAGAAAAAUUAUUCUAAAGUUUAGCUAAUUCUAAGAAACCAUAAAAAUCAUUUAAAUCUACUCUAGGCACAAAAUAAGAUUUUUAAACAAAACUACAUUUUUCUAGAGAUUCAUAUUAGCAUUAGAGUUGUGUAUUUAUUUCAAAUAGUCUCAAUAAAUAACUCUCAAGAAAUGCGUACCAUUCUCCUUCCUUAGAACACAAACCCUAACCAAAAAUCCUAAACAAGAGAAUUUGUAAGAGUAUGACAAAUUAUAUUCUUGAGGAUAUUAUAUUUAUUAUAAGGGUUGAAGGUUUACGUGUUGUAGAUGAGAAGAAACAAGGAGAAAAAAAGAAGAAAAAAAGACAAAAAAAAAAAAAAAUGGGAGAAGGGGUUGUCUUGGCCAAGAGAGAGAAGAAAGAGGAGAAGAAUGAGAGAGUGAGAUAGAGAGAGAAUGAGAGUGGAUGGUUGAUGUGUUUUAUUUAUUUAUUUAUUUAUUAUUAUUAUUAAUUAAUUAAUUAAUUACUAUUAUAUAUUUUUUUAAAUGACACGUGGCGUGUCAAAACCCUUAAGCCACGAGAACCUCAUUUAUGAGGUUUUUUUUUUUGAGUACCCUCUUUCUGAAAAAAAAAAUUCACAAAUGCCCGCUUUUGAAAACUAUAUACCUAAAUGCCCCCCUUUUUUUUUACUUACAAGUCGCCAUUUGGAAUGGCAACUUCCUUAAGGAAGCCCAAGUUCCAAAUGGCGACUUCCCACUUGAUUUUUUUUUAAAAAAAAAAUUCAAUUUUUUUUUUAAUUUUUAAUAGAUAACAUAAAUAUUAUAUAUAUAAUUAAUUAACAUAGAAAUUUUAAAUUAAAAAAUAUUUUACCAGAUGGAUUCCCCUCUUUAGCACUCACACAAUAAAUGCGUCCUCUAGCAGUAGGACGGGUAGCUCUAGCUACAUUCACAACUGGUUCCACCUUUGGAGCCGUGCAAUCCUUCGCCAUGUGUCCUGGAUUCUGACAAGUGUAGCAGGUGAGAGUGUUAGGGGUACAAGCGUUAGCAUAAUGUUCCUCUUCCCCACAACGGAAACAUCGGACCACUCGUCCCAGUUGUCUCCUGAAAUUCUGGUUCCCCGGGCGAUUCUUCCCACCGUUGUUAGUUCGUGGUCGAUCAUAGGGUUUAGCAACUUGUUUCCCCUUGUUGUUCUGGUAAUUCACCCGACUAGGCCCUCCUGUACCAAAAUUCCCUCCUCGGCUAGCUCUCUUAUUCUUCAUAUCCUCAACUUCCCUAAACUUUUCCACAAGGGCUUGGAAAUGUUGGAUUCCCAAGGGUAAGACGGAGUCUUGAAUCUCAUACUUCAGUCCGUCUUGGAAACGAUGACACAUGAAUGGUUCAUCAAUUUCUUCACGGAAGAACCUGAAAUGCCUCGAUAGCGAUUCAAGCUUAGCAGCAUAUUCGCCCACGGUCAUGCUCCUCUGGUGAAGUUUCAGAAAGUCGUCACCCAGUUUAGUCCUGGUACUCAUCGGGAAGUAUUUGUCUAAAAACUUCCUUUUAAAUGAUUCCCAGUUCACCUCCUCGUGGGCUGCUCCCAUCAAUAACCUUGCACUCCUCCACCAGUACUCAGCAUCCCCCAACAGCAUAUAAGUGGCAUAGCUGACCUUCACCCCCGCCUGACACUUUAUCAUAUCAAAGAUCUUCUCCACUUCUUGGAUCCAUUGAUCCGCCUUCUCUGAACCCUCAUCCCCUUUGAACUUAGGAGGAUUGUAACGACGGAAGUCUUCUAACCCUCUUGACUCUGCAGCACGGAUCUCUCUCCCCCUCUUUUCAAGACCCCGUUGAGUCUUGGCAGCAGUCUGUGCAGCCACAGAAGCAGCCAUGUUAUUCAUAGCCUCCGCCAUUUGAUCAUUCCUAUUAGCGUUGUCUCUCGGAGCGUCAUUCCUUCUUGGCGGCAUGGUUUCCUAUAAAACCAUCAUCAAGUAGAGUCUUAACACUACUUCAAAAUAUUCCCAAACUCACGUCCGACUAUAACAACACAUAAUAAUCAUAUUGGACUUGACAACUCAAGUCACCUAAACCGACACAUGAUCAGAUGACAACUCCCAACUUAAAGGUCGACCUACAAUCCUAGAAUCUAUAACCAAGGUUCCACAGCUCCCAAAGAAAACCAAACCAAAGCUCUGAUACCACAUUGUAACGCCCCGUUUUUCAAAAGAAAUUAAACUGAAACAGAGAAAUAAACAAAAAAAUGUCUUUGGAUAAAUAAUUGAGUCAUUAUAAUUUACAAGCAGCGGAAAAGUUUCUCCAAAUAUAAAUCCAAAGCAUUUACACAACAACAAAUGGUACAUGGGAUCCAUUCUUAAUAUGAUGUCAAACUGACAAUAUUAGUAUAGUACAGUUUUUCCAAAUCAAAAUAGACACCUAGUUCCUAUACAUCAUCCUAAUCUGAUCAUCCUACCAAAAAGCUAUACACCCUGAGUAUCUCCACGCGCCCCGUGAGAUCCUCCUAAUGUAACUGCAAUCACGCGUUCCCAUCUCCAUUCCCGUUCGUAGGGUACGAACCGGUAGGAUCGUCCUGACUCUCAUCUAAGGGCAAAGCCCAGAUUUCCACAAUAAUUGUAAAGGGUCACCAACUGAAAUUAACAGAUAACACAUAACAUUUAAGUUUUAAAUGCACAAAAUAACCUUUCAACUAAGCAUGCACCUUAAAAGGAUUUUCCAUAUGCUAAAAGUUCAUAUAAUGCUUGCCAAUUAACAAUGAACUCAAAAUGAAGUUCUCAAACCAUCAAGUAACAAUAAACUCAAAAUGAAGUUCUCAAACCAUCAAGUAAUACAUAACUGACCAAAGCAUUGAUAAAUCAAUUGAGCAAUCGAUUAUCUAACUCAAAAUAAGGACUUUUGUUGAGCCAAUCGAUUGCCAAAUCAAUUUGGUCAGUUCUGCUGAGUUUCUGCAUGACCAAAUCGAUUUCUAAGUCGAUUUUGUCAGUUCUGAUGAGUCCCUGUGUUGCCAAAUCGAUUUCCAAAUCGAUUUGGGCAGUUUUGCUGAGUUCCUGCCUCUCUGCCAAUCGAUUUCCAAAUCGAUUUCUUAAAAGAUUUUGAAAGACAUAUUUAUACAAUCGAUUGGCAAAUCGAUUAGGUCAAAAUGGUGAACUUCCUGCAACUCAUCCAAUCGAUUGGGAAAUCGAUUUCCCUCAUCAUUUUUCCAAAAAUUCAUAACUAACUCAAUCACAUUCAUACAUAAUCUCAAAUCCUAACACUUAGCACUGAUAACGCAAUCGCUACAACAUCAUUAGUUUCGAAAUAGUAUUGCAAGCAAACAUGUUAUCACCAAAUUCCAAAACAUAACACUUAACAUUUAUAACACAAUUAAUACAACAUCAUGGGUUUCAAAAUGGUAUAGCAAUCCAACAUGUUAUCACCAAAUUCCAAAACAUAACACUUAACAUUUAUAACACAAUCAAUACAACAUCAUGGGUUUCAAAAUGGUAUAGCAAUCCAACAUGUUAUCACCAAAUUCCAAAACAUAACACUUAUAACACAAUUACUACACAUACCAAAUGAACCAACAAUUCACAAUUUAACAGGGUGUAGUCUCUCACGGACAAACACCUGUGCAGUCUCUCACGGACAAACACAAUUCCCUCAGGAACGUAACUCGUAAACGUACCACCUAUCACGGGUCAGUACUGUUUACCGAGGUGCCACCUAUCCCGGGUCUGCACAACUUACCAAACGUAAAUCGUAAACGUACUGUCUAUCACGGACCCGUACCGUUUACCAAGGUGCCACCUAUCACGGGUCUGCACGAUUUACCAAAACAUACAUAAGUAAACGAGACAUUAAGAGAUUCCCCAUUCUUAAUUCUCAUCUAACUUAAACCAGGGCGUAGUCUCUCACGGACAAACCCCUGCGCAGUCUCUCACGGACAAACGCAAUUCCCGCAGGAACGUAAAUUGUAAACGUACUACCUAUCCCGGGUCCGUACUGUUUACCGAGGUGCCACCUAUCCCGGGUCAGCACAACUUACCAAAACAUACACGAGUAAACGAGACAUUAAGAGAUUCCCCAUUCUUAAUUCUCAUCUAACUUAAACCAGGGCGUAGUCUCUCACGGACAAACCCCUGCGCAGUCUCUCACGGACAAACGCAAUUCCCGCAGGAACGUAAGUCGUAAACGUACUACCUAUCACGGGUCCGUACCGUUUACCGAGGUGCCACCUAUCCCGGGUCUGCACAACUUACCAAACACAAUUCCCUCAGGAACGUAAGUCGUAAACGUACUACCUAUCACGGGUCCGUACUGUUUACCGAGGUGCCACCUAUCCCGGGUCUGCACAACUUACCAAACACAAUUCCCUCAGGAACGUAAGUCGUAAACGUACUACCUAUCACGGGUCCGUACCGUUUACCGAGGUGCCACCUAUCCCGGGUCAGCACAACUUACCAAAACAUACACGAGUAAACGAGACAUUAAGAGAUUCCCCAUUCUUAAUUCUCAUCUAACUUAAACCAGGGCGUAGUCUCUCACGGACAAACCCCUACGCAGUCUCUCACGGACAAACGCAAUUCCCGCAGGAACGUAAGUCGUAAACGUACUACCUAUCACGGGUCCGUACCGUUUACCGAGGUGCCACCUAUCCCGGGUCAGCACAACUUACCAAAACAUACACGAGUAAACAAGACAUUAAGAGAUUCCCCAUUCUUAACGCCCAGUUAACUUAAACAAUUUUCCAAACAAAAUAAUAAGUAACCGAGACAUUAAGAGAUUCCCCAUUCUUAACGCCCAGUUAACUUAAACGGUUUUCAAAACAAAAUGUUAAGUAACCGAGACAUUAAGAGAUUCCCCAUUCUUAACGCCCAGUUAACUUAAACAAUUUUCCAAACAAAAUAACAAGUAACCGAGACAUUAAGAGAUUCCCCAUUCUCAACGCCCAGUUAACUUAAACAAUUUUCAAAACAAAAUAAUAAGUAACCGAGACAUUAAGAGAUUCCCCAUUCUUAACGCCCAGUUAACUUAAACGAUUUUCAAAACAAAAUAUUAAGUAACCGAGACAUUAAGAGAUUCCCCAUUCUCAACGCCCAGUUAACUUAAACAAUUUUCCAAACAAAAUAAUAAGUAACCGAGACAUUAAGAGAUUCCCCAUUCUUAACGCCCAGUUAACUUAAACGAUUUUUCUUUAAAACAAAAUAUUAAGUAACCGAGACAUUAAGAGAUUCCCCAUUCUUAACGCCCAGUUAACUUAAACGAUUUUUCUUUAAAACAAAAUAUUAAGUAACCGAGACAUUAAGAGAUUCCCCAUUCUUAACGCCCAGUUAACUUAAACGAUUUUCAAAACAAAAUAUUAAGUAACCGAGACAUUAAGAGAUUCCCCAUUCUUAACGCCCAGUUAACUUAAACGAUUUUCAAAACAAAAUAUUAAGUAACCGAGACAUUAAGAGAUUCCCCAUUCUUAACGCCCAGUUAACUUAAACGAUUUUCAAAACAAAAUAUUAAGUAACCGAGACAUUAAGAGAUUCCCCAUUCUUAACGCCCAGUUAACUUAAACGAUUUUUCUUUAAAACAAAAUAUUAAGUAACCGAGACAUUAAGAGAUUCCCCAUUCUUAACGCCCAGUUAACUUAAACGAUUUUUCUUUAAAACAAAAUAUUAAGUAACCGAGACAUUAAGAGAUUCCCCAUUCUUAAUACUCAUUUAACUUAAUGGUUUUCAAAUUCCACACAAAAAAACUCAAACAAAUUCUCACAUUCAAUUCAUAAUUCACACCAAAACACAUCAAUCAACAAACAUCAAGUAUGAACAUGCCAAAUACGAUGAACACAAAUCAACAUAAUAAAUUUCAUUUAUUCAAAAUCUUACAUACAUGAGGUAAAAUCAUUUUUCCCAAAACAAUACUCCAAUCCUAACACAAUUCGUUUCCACACAACCACAGAUAAGGCCCUAGAUGCAAACUAAAAGUUUGGAAGGAGCCCUUACCUUAACGUUAGCUCAAACGUGCGUUUCCGGUACCGUGAGUAAAUCCGGUAAAUUUUCCGCUCGCAACACCGCUUCCAAAACUGGUCCACUAGCGCCGUAGCACGGUAGUGAGCAACUUUCCCUUCUAACUCUUCGCGAAAUGAAGCUUGGAUCUAGAAGAAACGAAGGGGUUUGUGUUUGAAUCUCAAAUACCGUUUUUCUUCGUUUUCGGAUCAAAGAGGAAGAGUGGAGUUGCGAAACCUUUGUUCUAACACUCACCCAACCUUGGGUUACUAGUCUUGAAGAAAAGAAAGCAACGAAAAUGAAAAUGGGAGAAGGAGGGAAAAUGGGUCGCGCACGCAGGGAGAGGAAGAAGAUGAAGUUUUGGAUUUUCUUUCCUUCCUUUUUCCUUUCUUUGUUUUUCCUUCCUUUCUAUUUCCUUCUUUCCUUUAUAUAACCUUUUCUCUUCCUUUUCCUUCCUUCUAAUUUUCUUUCUUUCUAUUCUCUCCAAACAGUUUAUGCAAAUCUACCUUAUGAUAUUUUCUCAUGUUCCUUGGAGGAUGUGGAAUUUCUUGAGGUAGUCCAAAUUGUAGUUUCACUCUAUUAGUUUGAUGCAUUUCUAUUAGGUAGAAACAAAUUAAAUAUGUAGAUGCAUUCCAUAGGCAAUUGUCUUCUGGAUGAUCGUAUGUUAGACCUAGAUAUGGCCUCCAAAUAAACUGAUAUAUAACAAGUUUGUUAGUAAUAUAUGCAUAAGAAAAGUAAAAUAAUAAAAAUAAUGUAAUGUUUUAAUAUAUUACAUCGUUAACGGUCAUGUGAUCAAUUUUUUAUAGAUAUCCAGCGGUAUGAUAACGAGGUGUAUCGCCAAAUUUCAUACCCUUUCCACUAUAUCUACGAAAAUAAAUUUGAAUGUUAGUAAAUAAAUUAAUAUAUUUAUAAAUAUAAUAUUUAACUUUUUUUUAUAUUAACCUUUUUGAGAAUGGAAAAUGAGGCUCAAAAUUACUUAUUGGUGCAAGAAACGGCAUAUGGUACCAUGCCCACGUUUGAAGUAGAUGUGAACAUCCCCGAUCGACAUAACACCGGGUUCAGAUGCACGACACAAUUCUCUAUAAAGUGUUGCCAAGCAUGCUGAACCCCAACUAUAUUGUCCUGUCUCUCGCAAAUCUCUCAACAAGUGCAACCACAUAAUAUGUACUCUGUUGUGAGAUUUGUAAGGCAUUAAUAUGCCGCCAAUCAAUUCUAAAAUGCAUGCUCUACAAUGUGACUUAGAGUUUCUGAGUUUUAUUAUUAUGUAUUUUCUUCAAAGAACACUUACAGGUUUUCUCUGUAUUUCUAGUUUAAGGCUUGGAUACUCAUUAUGGUUUGUUUAAGGUGUUCUGGCUUGGAUACUCACAAUUUUUUUUCAACUGUGAUUAAAAUUUAAUUUUAAUUACAUUGCAUCUAAUCUUAAUAAUUUGGUUUCUAAUUUAAAAUGUAUUCUAUGUGCAGGUUUAUGGCUGAAAUUAAUUUUAUUUGUGAGUUGAAGUGAUAUGGAGUACCAUUGAAGGCUUAAAUCUUGUUAUGUUGAUUUAUGGUCUCAUAAAUUAAUUUUACAUCUUUUUGAUUAUUAAACUCCAAAAUAUUAUUAACUUUGGCUUAAAAACCUCCGAGCCAAAAUCCAAAAUACACCAAAAAUACAUAAAUGGUACUUUAAAAUUAUGGGUCUUACAUUACUCCCCCCCUAAAAUUAGUUUCGUCCUCGAAACUAUGCAUCGAUAAAUAACUCUGGGUGUUGUUCUCUCAUCUUGCUCUCCAAUUCCCAAGUCGCAUCUCCAGUGAUUGGGUUCCAAAUAACCUUGACCAACGAAACAUCCUUGGUCCUCAACCGCUUAAUCUUCCUAUCAUCAAUUCUCACGGGUGGUACUUCGAACGACAGGUUAUCCUUUAGCUGGAUUGCGUCUGGUUCGAUCACGUGAGAUGGAUCUGCGAGAUAUUUCCUCAACUGUGACACAUGAAACACGUCAUGAAUAUUGGACAGUAUCGGAGGUAAUGCAAUGCGAUAAGCCACCGGCCCAAUUCGUGCAGAAAUCUGAUAUGGUCCAAUGAAUUUCGGAGUCAACUUCUUCGAUUUCAAGGCUCUACCUACUCCAGUAGUAGGUGUGACUCUCAGAAAUACAUGGUCACCCUGUUCGAAUUCCAAAAGUCUGCGACGCUUGUCCACGUAACUCUUCUGACGAUCUUGUGAAGUCUUCAUUUUCUCCUUGAUCUUCCUUACUUUAAUUGUGGUAUGUUGCACCAUCUCUGGUCCGACAAUCAUAUUCUCACCGUCUUUAUACCAACACAAGGGCGUUUGACACUUGCGCCCAUAUAAAGCUUCAUAUGGUGCCAUUCCAAUACUUGCGUGGAAACUAUUGUUGUAAGUGAACUCAAUCAACGGAAGUACAUCAUCCCAGCUUCCCCUAUCAUCUAAUACACAUGCUCUCAACAGAUCUUCCAAGGACUGAUUCGUCCUUUCAGUCUGUCCGUCCGUUUGUGGAUGGUAAGCUGAACUCAAUCGUAGCUUCGUUCCCAACGCUUCGUGCAAUGCUCCCCAAAAAUGCGAUGUGAACUUCGGAUCACGGUCUGAUACAAUGCUCGAUGGUACCCCGUGUAACCUCACAAUUUCAGCAAUGUAGAUCUCCGUUAGCUGAUCUACCUUAUAGGUGGUCCUUACCGGCAAAAAGUGAGCAGAUUUAGUCAGCCGGUCCACUAUCACCCAUAUAGAAUCAUUCUUCCUCCUUGUCUUCGGUAAUCCGGUUAUAAAAUCCAUGGAAAUGCUGUCCCACUUCCAUUCAGGUAUAUCUAAAGGUUGCAACAUUCCAGCAGGUCGCUGAUGUUCCACCUUCGCUUUCUGACAAGUUAGACAAGUGGAUACAUAUUCCGCCACAUGUUUCUUCAUUCCUGGCCACCAAUAAUUCUGCCUCAAAUCCUGAUACAUCUUUGUUGCUCCAGGAUGAAUACUCAGCUUACUCUUAUGCGCCUCUUCUAAAAUCGUUUUCCGCAUAUCUGUAAUGGCUGGUACACAAAUCCUACCAUUACACCGCAAAACAUUAUCUGCCCCAAUCUUGAACUCAGUCGUCUUCCCUUGUACUAUUAGAUUCCUCUUCUCUUGAAUUAAGACGUCAUCCUGAGAAUUCGCAAUGUCUUCAAGUAAUCCACUCGAGAUCUUAAUCAUUCCGAAUUUCAAAAUUCCCGGUCCGAACUCUACGUUCAAGUGUAGGUCUCUAAAAGCCUCCUGGUUCGGGGAAAAGAACCAAUUUCCGAGCACAAUCCAAGAUCACAUAGUGAUAAGACAUCCAAUCCAUACCGAGGAUGACCUCGAGUGAUUGUAGCGGUAAACAAAUUAGAUUAACCAAGAAAUCCCUAUUCUGAAUAGUCAUUCGACAAUGUAAACAUGCUGAAUUUACGGUUAAGGUCUUAGCAGGCGUGGAAACAACCAAAUCAAAAGGUAAAGCAGACACAGAUAACUUCAAGCGAUUCACACAGUCCAUAGCAAUGAAGGAAUGGGUUGCCCCCGAAUCAAAGAGUGCAGUUAGAGUGUUACCUGCAAUCUCACAAUCACGCUGAAUCAGAUUACCAGAUGGAUUUCCCUCUUCAGCAUUCACACAAUAAAUGCGUCCUCUAGCAGUAGGACGGGUAGCCCUAGCUACAUUCACCACUGGUUCCACCUUUGGAGCCGUGCACUCCCUUGCCAUGUGCCCCGACUUCUGACAAUUGUGACAGAUGGGGAUGUUAGUGGUACAAGCACUAGCAUAGUGUCCUUCUUUCCCACAUCGGAAACAUCGAAGCACUUGCCCCAUUUGCCUUCCGAAAUUCUGGUUCCCUGGGCGACUCGGUCCACCGUUGUUAUUCUGGGGGCGAUUAUAAGGUUUAGCCACUUGUUUUCCCCUAUUCUGAUAAGUCGCCCGACUAGGGCCUCCCGAAUUAAAAUUCCCAACUCGGCUAGCCCUCUUGUUCUUCAUAUCUUCCACUUCUCUACAUUUCUCUACCAGCGCUUGGAAACGUUGAAUUCCCAAAGGUAAGACGGAAUCUUGAAUCUCAUACUUCAAUCCGUCUUGGAAACGAUGACACAUGAACGGUUCAUCAAUUUCUUCACGGAAGAACCUGAAAUGCCUCGAUAGUGAUUCAAAUUUAGCAGCAUACUCGCCCACAGUCAGGCUCCCCUGGUGAAGUUUCAGAAAGUCGUCACCCAACUUAGUCCUGGUACUCAUCGGAAAGUAUUUGUCUAAAAACUUUCUUUUGAACGAUUCCCAGUUCACCUCCUCGUGGGCUGCUCCCAUCAACAACCUUGCACUCCUCCACCAGUAUUCAGCAUCCCCUAGCAACAUAUACGUGGCAUAGCUGACCUUCACUCCAGCCUGGCAGUUAAUCAUAUCAAAGAUUUUCUCCACUUCUUGGAUCCAUUGAUCCGCCUUCUCUGAACCCUCAUCCCCCUUGAACUUAGGAGGAUUGUAACGACGGAAGUCUUCCAACCCUCUUGAUUCUGCAGCACGGAUCUCUCUUCCCCUCUUUUCAAGAUCCCGUUGAGUCUUGGCAGCGGUCUGUGCAGCGACAGAAGCAGCCAUGUUGUUCAUAGCCUCCGCCAUUUGGUCAUUCCUAGCGUUGGCUCUCGGAGCGUCAUUCCUUCUGGGCGGCAUGGUUUCCUAUAAGAACCAUCAUCAAGUAGAGUUUUAACACUACUUCAAAUAAUUCUAAACUAACGUCCGACUAACAACACACAAUUAAAUUGGACUUGACAACUCAAGUCACCUAAACCGACACAUGAUCAGAUAACAACUCCUAACUUAUAGGUCGACCUACAAUCUAUAACCAAGGUUCCACAGCUCCCAAAGAAAACUAAACCUAUGCUCUGAUACCACAAUGUAACACCCCGUUUUUCAAAGCGAGGGUAUAUUUUUUUUUUUCUAAAAGUAAUUAAAACGAACAAAGAAUAAAUCAGGAAAUGCUUUUGGAUAAAUAAUUGAGUCAUUAUAAUUUACGCAGCGGAAAAGUUUCUCCAAUUAUAAAUCCAAAACAUUUUUACAUAAACAUCAAAUGGUACAUGGGACCCAUUCAAAGAUGAUAUAAAACUGAUAAUAUUUGUAUAAGUACAGUUUUCCAAAACUAAAAUACUCCAAACCAAAAAGAAGGACCCCUAGUCCCUAUACAUCAUCCUAAUCUGAUCAUCCUACCAAAAACUAUACACCCUGAGUAAUCUCCACGCGCCCCGUGAGAUCCUCCUAACACAACAGCAGUCAAGCGUUCCCAUCUCCAUCCCUGUCCGUAGGGUACGAACCAGUAGGGCCGUCCUGACUCUCAUCUGAGGGCAAAGCCCAGAUUUCCACAAUAGUGUAAAGGGUCACCAACCAGAAAAUAACAGUUAACACAUAGCAAUUAAGUUUUUGAAUGCUCAAAACAACUUUUUAACUAAGCAUGCACCUUAACAGGAUUUUCAAUGUGCGAAAAGUUCAUACAUUACAUUGCCAAUGAAAAUGAAGGUAAAAUGCAGUUCUCGAUCUCCUAAUUAACACAUGGUAAAACAAAACAUGGAUAGAUUCAUGAGCAAUUAAUCAUACAACUAAAAAUGAGGAUUUUCACUGAGCCAAUCGAUUGGGCAAUCGAUUGGGGUGAAGAUUUUUAAUGAAAACAGAAUCCUGGGCUGAAUUCAAUCGAUUGGUAAAUCGAUUGAUUGGUUCCUGAGCCCCUGGUUUCGAGCCAAUCGAUUUCCUAAUCGAUUUGGUGAGGGAUUCUUAAUGAAAACAGAAUCCUGGGCUGAAUUCAAUCGAUUGGUAAAUCGAUUGAUUGGUUCCUGAGCCCCUGACUUAAGGCCUAAUCGAUUGGGCAAUCGAUUUCUUAACUGAUUCCUUUGAAAAUUGUUUUCGAAAUCGAUUGGCUAAUCGAUUUUGUUCAUUUGGCCAAGCCCCUGACUUCCAUCCAAUCGAUUGGGAAAUCGAUUUCCCUGAUCAGUUUUCCAAAAAUUCAUGAAUUAACCUAAGUCAUUCCUAAUCAAGUUCACCACUUAACACUUAGCAAUUUCUACGCGAUUACUACGACACACAAAGGUUCGAUAACCAUCAUACUCACACACAAUACACAACACAUAGCACUUAACACCUUCAUCUCAGUUAUCACGAUAAAUCAAAAUUCGAAUCACUCAAUCAUAAACUCAAAUCAAACAUGACUCGCGUGCCAGGCACCCUAAUGCAAUGCGUAUAUGCCAAAAUGCAUGGACUCGGAAUUCCAAACCAAAACCCUCCUCGAAGGGCCGUAAAUCAUAAUUGUACCGCCUAUCGCAGGCCAAAGUACCAAUUACCGAGGUGCCACCUAUCACGGGUCAGCACGAUUUACUAAAAUGCGUAAAUCAUAAACGUACCACCUAUCACGGGUCAGUACAGUUUACCGAGGUGUCACCUAUCACGGGUCAACACGAUUUACUAAAAGAAAAAGCGGGAAUCGUAAAUGUACCACCUAUCACGGGUCAGUACAGUUACCAUGGUGUCACCUAUCACGGGUCAACACGAUUUACUAAAAGAAAAAGCGGGAAUCGUAAAUGUACCACCUAUCACGGGUCAGUACAGUUUACCAAGGUGUCACCUAUCACGGGUCAACACGAUUUACUAAAAUGUAAAUCGCAAACGUACAACCUAUCACGGGUCCGUACAGUUUACCAAGGUGUCACCUAUCACGGGUCAACACGAUUUACUAAAAUGUAAAUCGCAAACGUACAACCUAUCACGGGUCCGUACAGUUUACCAAGGUGUCACCUAUCACGGGUCGACACAAUUUACCAAAUGAAAUGCAUGAGCAUACACAGACUCCAUUCACAACAAUCGUUAAGCAAAUGCAGAUAUUAAAAGAUUCCCCAUUUUUAAUACCCAUUUAACUUAAACGACUUUCAAACAACAUUAAUUAAAUAAGUCAUUAAGAGAUUCCCCGUUCUUAAUACCGAUUUAUCUUAAUGAUUUUCAAAACAAAACGUUAAGCAAACAGUCAUAUUAAGAGAUUCCCCAUUCUUAAUAUACUUUUGACUUAAACGAUUUUCACACAAAAUAUUCAGUAAACGAGUCAUUAAGAGAUUCCCCAUUCUUAACACUCAUUUACCGGAACGAUUUUCAAAAACGAUCGUUAAGUAACCGGGACAUUAAGAGAUUCCCCAUUCUCAACGCCCAGUUAACUUAAACCUUUUCCUCAAAUGCACAUUAAGUAAACCGAGGUAUUAAAAGAUUCCCCAUUUUUAAUACUCGUUUAACUCUAAUGGUUUUCAAAUUCCACGGAAACAAACUCAAACAUACUCUCACAUUCAAACCAUAAUUCACAACAACCACACCAAUUAACAAACAUCAAGUAUGGACACGCCAAAUACAACGAACACAAAUCAAAGCCAACAUAACACCCAGAUACAUCAAAUUUCAUUUACCCAUAAUCAUACACAAUGACAUUCAAAUUCAUUUACCACGAAACAUUCAUCACUAUAAACAAAACCUAACUCUAAGGUUUUUACCCAUAACGCACUAGUUUCGUUUUUCCCCAAAUCGAUACAUUUAACCCUAACAAAUUCCUUCCCACACAACCACAGAUAAGUCCCUAAUGCAACUAGAAGUUUGGAAGGUGCCCUUACCUCAAUGUUAGCUUUAUCGUGCGUUUCCGGUACCGCGAGUAAUUCCGGUAAAAUCUCCGCUCGCAACGCCGCUUCCAAAUUAGUUCCCUAGCACCGUAGCGUGGUGGUGAGCAACUUUCCCUUCUAUCUCUUCGAGAAAUGAGGUUUGGAUCUAGGAGAAACGGAGGGGUUUGUGUUUGGAUCUCAAAAACCGUUUUUCUUCGUUUUCGAAUCAAAGAGGAAGAGUGGAGUUGCGAAAACCUUGAUCUAACUCUCACCCAACCUUGGGUUACUAGUUUUGAAGAAAAGAAAGCGACGAAAAUGAAAACGGGAGAAAGUAGAAAAAUAGGUCACGGUUAGAGGAAGAAGAUGGAAUUUUUCGUUUUCCUUCCUUUCUUUUUCUUUCCUUUGUUUUUCCUUUCUUCCUUUUUCCUUCCUUCCUUUUAUACUAUUUUCUUUUCCUUUUCCUUCCUUCUAGUUUUCCUUUCUUCUAGUUUUCCUUUCUUUUUCCCUCCAAACAAACAUAAAUAGAUAAUAAAUAUAACUUAACAAAUAUCUCAAAAUACCUAGACAUUUGUUAAAUUACCGUUUCACCCGAAACGCAUUAAAUUCUCCGUAAAGGAUUCACCGCACUUAAUUUAAAUUUAUUUAUCGACGAGAAAUUUUAAUUGGCAUCAAAACAUCUUUUUGAUUAUUAAACUCCAAAAUAUUAUUAACUUUGGCUUAAAAACCUCCGAGCCAAAAUCCAAAAUACACCAAAAACACAUAAAUGGUACUUUAAAAUUAUGGGUCUUACAGCCUACAUCAGGUCUAUGUCAGAUCAGGCUUUCUUUUUAAACAGAGAAGGUCAAGGCUUCUAAAAAAGCCUAUUUAAUUAAAAAGGUUUGGCUAUAGGCCACAUAAUAAACCUUUUACGCCGACCUAUUUAAAUAAAUAUAAAUAAUAUUUUUUUACCACUAUGAUUAUUAUAUUAAAUUUUGAUAUUUGUGUUAUAUAUAUUCAACUUUUAGUAAUUUACACAUAUUAACCUUAUUUAGUUUUUGGCAUAUUUAAAUGUAUUAUUAUAAAAUAUAAUUUAAGCAGGAUGUAUAUAUAGUCACAUUCUUCAAAAUGUGAUGUUAAAUAUCAAAAUAGAACUUAAUUUCAUUGACAUAUUAACUCAUUAAUCUAUUUAAAUAUAUGUUUGAUUACUUAUUCAAAAAUAUUAAAAUGAAAUAAGCAUUUAAGUAGGCUAAGAGACCAUAUCAGACUUCUAUCAAGGUCAGACUAAGGCCUAAAAAGUAAGCCUAUGACAGGACACACGCCAAGCGUAGGGCUUGAAUUUUUUGACAUGUCAGGCUUAUGCUUAGCAAAGCCUAACUCGACCCAGCCUAUUCCCACCCCUACUUGUACUAGUUCCAGUGAAGAGGCCAUAGAGCAAAAGCUUAAGCCAUUAUCCUUUCUCAUUUCAAAGUUAUUAUUUGGGAGGGGAGAAGCUCUCAACCAUGAUUCAUAUGAAAAAAUCUUUUUCUUCAAUCACUUCAAAACCUUCCCCAUCAUUUGUCACAGUUUCAUCACAGUCCCGGAGUUGGUGCCCAAUUCUCCCACAUAAAAAAAUCAGAAAUUGGGUCUGAUGUUUAGGUCUGAAGACUAGGUCUAAAGAUUGCCUCUAAAGAAUGGCUCUAAAACUGAGUCUAAAAACUGCCUCUGAAGAUUGAAUUUAAAGCAUGCCUCUAAAGCUCUUGCAUAUCUCUGAUGUACACAAACUUAGCAUAUACCUAAAGAGUUCAUAUCAAGGUAUAAUUAACUCUGAAGAUAUUAUUCAAAUCAUAAAGUCAAAGUUCACAAUCCGCUGAUCAAAAUGGUGCAACACACUCCAAAUGCUGCCUCUGAUAAGCAGCCUCUAAUGUUGCACCGACUCUGAAGUUUCAACAAGGUGAUUUUCCUAAUGUCACUAACUCUAAGUCAUGCAAUUCUACCUUUGAGUAUCUUUAUUCAAGAAACACGACAUCUAACUCAAACAAGAGAGUCAGUGCCUAUGCUGAAAAGUCAACGACUGAAAUUGAAAUAAUUAAGUAUGAAAAAAAAAAAUUAGCCGACUCCAAAACUUGUGAAUAUCCAAGAACAACCCGAAUCCAUUUCAGCUCAAAUCAAGAAAGAGUAUGAAAGAAGACUCGUGUUUUGAAAGACAAUCUAAAAUAAUAUUUGAUUUAGAUUUAUAAUUGAAGAAAAUAUUUGACCAAGUUGAAAAGAAUAUAUGAUAAAGAUUUGAAGAUGAUAUGAUUCAUAUCUUAUCAACAAAAGAUAUGAAUUAUUUACAAGAACAUUUGAUCAAGAUUUAUCACAAGAAGAUAUGAAUUAUUUAAAAGAAGAUCUGAUCAAGAUUUAUCACAAGAAGAUAUAAAUUAUUUACAGUAAUAUUUUAUCAAAAUUUAUCUACAAGAAGAUAUGAAUUAUUUACAAGAAGAUUUGAUCAAGAUUUAUCUACUAGAAGAUAUGAAUUAUUUACAAGAAGAGUUUAUCAUAAUCUACAAGAAUAUUUGAAUUAUUUACAAGAAGAUAUGAUCAAAAAUUAUUUAGAAAAAGAAACACUCAUAUAUAUUUGGCUUAAUUGCAGUUUUGGUCCCCCUAUUUUAGCUAAAUCGCGAAAGUAGUCCCUCCAUUUUGUUUCUCCCCAGUUUUGGUCCCCCAAACAGAAUUUUGGUCCAAAACUUGAUGAAAUUUCAUUUUUUUAAAGCCGUACUAUAUCAUUUAUGAUCAUAGAUAUCAUAUACAAUUGUUGCAAAUGAGAUCUUGAGGCAUGGUGUGACUUAAAUAAAUACAAAAAAAAAAUGAAAUUUCAUCAAAUUUUGGACCAAAAUUAUGUUUGAGGGACCAAAACUGGGGAGAAAUAAAAUGGGGGGACUACUUUCGCGAUUUAGCUAAAAUAGGGGGGACCAAAACUGCAAUUAAGCCUAUAUAUUUUUAUUAUUUGCAAAGAUAUGAUUCAAAUUUUGCAAAGACGGAUGAAAACCUCUAACUUAUUUUAUAAAUAGAUACACAAGGCUGAAGAACAAAAUAAGAUAACUUACGAGCACAAAAUUUACUAAGUCAUUAGAGUUCAUAAAGUUAAGAUCUAGAGAAACAUUUGCUCAAAAGAUAUAUUUUCUAAGUGUUUUCUAGUGUGAGAGUAAUUGUUACAACCAACUUGUUAGAAGCAAACAAAUUUGUUCCCAACUCUUGUAACCAUGUCUGAAUUUUGUGUUCCUCGAGAAAUUUGUAGAUUUUCAAGUUGUGAUGAGAAAAUUUGGUUUGUAGAAUCAAAGUGUUUGUUUUUCGUAGGUGACAAAUUAUUUUGAGAAUAUUGAUUUGUAGAGUCAGGUGUUGUGUAAUUCAAGUUUUGAAUUAGUGGAUUAAAUCAUGAAAGGACUAAACGUAGCUACUAAAUUGGUGGUGAAUCAGGAUAAAUUAUUGUAUCACUUUAAUUAUGUAAUUUUUGUUUUAUUUUUGUCUCUCAUCACUUAACUCAAUUGCUACUACUUUUAUUUUAAGUCACCAAACUCGAGUCAAUUUUAAAUAAAUUAACAAAAACAAUCAAACUUAGUCAAAACCAAUUCAAUUCUCUUUUCAUAUUUGCAGCUUUAGUAACCUUUGGAUCUGCUGCCUCAAAUUCUCCCAUGAUUGCCCCCAGUUUUUUUGCCAUGAACUCACUACGGAGUUUCAAGGGAAGGUCGCACACUCUUGUCCAGAAUGAGAUCGAACUCGUAUCCAUUUCAGACUACGAUGUUACGAUCAAAACUCCAUGGACCAGCCUUAAUCACAUUUUCUAAAUCUCGUAUUGAAAAAAAAACAAAAGAGAUACAGGUUCUUACCGAGUUCCUGAGUCUCUAUUAGGUUCUUAGGUCUCCAAAAUUCCACAAUCUUAGUUUUGAAAUCUCAGACAUUAUAACUGCUGUUAGUCCACAACUUUCCAACAGGGGAUCUUCUAAAGAAAUCCUCUUCCAUAUGUUCUUCAUCUUCCUCUGUAACCCCAAUCACGCCAUCUUCGAACCUAACAGCUUAAGACUCUUACGAAGACAAAAUUCAAAAUCCUGGAGAGCGCAGGGAGCUUCCAGGAUGAAACCUAGGGUAAGAUCCAAGAAAGGAAGUCUUUUUUAAUGUUGACUCUUGUUCAUUUAUAUAGCUUAUAUUUAAUUGCAAGUGAUAUCUUAAGUUUUUAGACUGUAACUAUCAUAUUGGUUAUUUGUACAUAGCUCUUUAUUUUCUAAUUUAUGGUGCCGUAUUUCAAAUUAGUAAGAAA
rnacentral:lncRNA from 1 species